CCACACGAAGCUGGAAUCGCUAGUAAUCGCGGAUCAGAAUGCCGCGGUGAAUACGUUCCCGGGUCUUGUACACACCGCCCGUCACACCAUGGGAGUCAGCAACGCCCGAAGUCAGUGACCCAACCAUUAUAGGAGGGAGCUGCCGAAGGCGGGGCAGGUGACUGGGGUGAAGUCGUAACAAGGUAUC
rnacentral:rRNA from 1 species